rnacentral:tRNA from 1 species
GGGAGAUUAGCUCAGCGGUAGAGCAUCCGCCUCACACGCGGGGGGCCACUGGUUCGAUCCCAGUAUCUCCCA